GGGAAGUUGGCUCAGUGGUAGAGUGCUUGCCUUGCAUGCAUGAGGCCAUGGGUUCGAUUCCUCAGCACCACA
rnacentral:tRNA from 1 species